ACUUCGCUUCCGACGUCACUGAUACUCGUUCAUAUGUGUAUGGUACAUGGCUGAGUAUAUGGAACUCGAUCGCUUCUCUUCACGUGAUUCUUGGAUUCCAAUUAAUUUUUUUUUCACGAAUUUAUAUCGUAACUAAUGGAAGCAACUUGCUCUUUCCAGUUCUCACUGGCCUUUCUGUGCGACACAUGAGAGCACCUGAUGCUUUUGGCCUUAUCUUAUCCAAGAUAUAUAUAUGAUGUUUUCGUACUUCUCUGACAUCCAUUUUCCAUUUAUCUUGUAUUUAUUUGAUACUCCAGACGCACAGUGCCUGCUAAUAAUCUCCCGACUACUCUUUCCGAAUCCUGAUUUAAACUUCUUUUCUGGUUUUUCUAACUUGCUGGUUUUCUAACUUAAACGUGUUCCCAGAUUAGAAAUAGUUUAGAUCCUCGUUUCCCUACACUGGCACUGGAAUGCUUACACGUCGGUUAUCUCGCUUCACUUUUUUACUAUCUGCAUAAAAUUACACAACUAAUGAUGGGUAAACACAAAGGGGGGAAUCGUAUUUAUAGACCGGUCGCCGCUAUUUGAGUUAUCAUUAUGAUAGAAUUUGCAUAGAGUGGAUUUUUUUUAUACUUUCGGCUAUUGAUAAGGUGGCAGGCGGUUGGGAUUCGAUGGGUGGAAAAUUAACGGAGCCGAAUUCAAGUGCCGGAUUGAUUCAAGUGCCUGCAGCGCGUCACCGGUGGCCUUGGAGGCGGGGCUGCGAUCUGGGCGCGGGAUUAGGGGCGUGGCCGGAGUUAGGCGGUUUCGCCCAGAUAAAAAAUAAACGUAACAUGACAAUCAAUCAUGUUUCCACUAUCAACUGACUUUUGAUUUCCGAUACUAAUCGGGAGCACUGCCAAAUUCCAUUUCCGUGCAAAAGGCUAGGUUAUAAUAAUAAUUCUUAUUCGAAUGUCUUGGGUUAGAACUUGAUAAUGAUAUUGUGUCAUAAAUGAAAUGAAAACUACUGUCAUCGGUACAGUCUUGAAUCAUACUAAAAACUGGCAUAAAAAAUUCCAUCUUUCGUCAUACAAUUUGAAUCACUAUCCUUUUAUAUUUCUGUAUUUUACAAUGCAACCAUUAUGGGCAGUUAAGGGUUCAAAGUUCAUCGAUAAUGUAAGUGGAUCCCCUAUCGAGAUGAUGUCGAACCGAAAACGUCAGCAGUUUCACUUAGUUGAUAUCGGUAUCGAAUCGCAGCUUAUCGCACCAGACGAGGGACUUGCUCCCCCGGACGGGAUCGACUCCAAUCGAAUCGGAUCGGAUCGGAAUGGAUCGGAUUCAUGUCUCUGGGGUGGGCGUGUGGAAUCAGCGAAUUUGAUGCGUUCGCAAGUGGCCGUGAAAUGGGCAUGUAGCUAUGUACAUACAUACGUACAUAUGCAUGCUUGUAUUGUUCGCAUGGCAGUAUGUACAUAUGUAUGUACAUAAGCCGGUCGGAGCGAAAUACUCCGCAAUAAAUAAGUGUGCUUAAGUAAUUGCAUUGACCGAUGGCCCCAUUGAGCAAAUAAGUCAACAAAAACACAGAACUACUCGACGAAAUGCUGGCAACACGGUAGCACGUUUGGCGAAAGAUGAACCAUGAAAUUAUUUCAGGUUGUGUUAAUUGAGAUGAGCUUUUCAUUUGAGGCCAUAUUUAGAUACCAUAUAUUUUUUUUAGAGUGCCAUAGACCGGAACAGGAGUUCCAGUAGCGAGUGUGAGCUACAUUGGCGGACAGUUACAUUCCCAGCCUUAUAUGACCUCAUCCACCCAGCAAAUCCAAUGCGUUAUCCAACUGGCCAUCCAACUGGCAUUUCAUAUGGGCAAGUCAACGUUGGCGAGGCGACAGAAGGAGCAACAGGAGCCAGCUAUCGACCAAAUAACACGUGUCCUAACGACUCAAAGCCCCCGAUAGUCGAAGGUGGGGUAAUACUAGGUCGGGAAAGGUAGUACUUGUACUUAAGUACACAUGUAUGCGUAUCUUCGGGUUUAAUUAAAUGUGGAGCGUUCUAUUUUUAUGCGACAAAUAUCAAUUUGCAAUUGGGUGACAUGCAGGCGAAUAAAAUGUAAACAGAAAAACAUAUAUAGUAGUAUAUAUAGUAUAGUAAAUAUUCGUUAUGUACAAGAUUAAUGUUAGGCUUUGAGGAAGAGUUCAUAAAAUCAAAGGAUCUAA
rnacentral:sRNA from 1 species